UUCCCACAAAAUCAAGAUGAGAAAGCACUGAAGAGUGGUUCUGCUAAGAAAGCCUUUGGUGGAGCCCUUCCUUAGCUGCCAGCCCCUGUCCAUCCUUGUGUUUGCUGUACUGUGAGCAUUGUUUCCAGCAUCUUUCUCGGGACGCAUAACAGGCCUGCUGGAAGAGUUGGUGGCACCAAGGAAGGUUCCGUUCUCUGUAUACGAUCUCUGCAAACACCAUGGCCAGCGAAUGUCAAUCUGCAAGAGGCAAGAAGGAAAUCUCGUUCAACAUGACACAGUAGCCAGUGUUGGUUAAAACUUUGAGCUGAGAUCGCCAAGUGUGUGAGGGAAGUCCGGCUUGUGAAGGAGCUGCUAGAGUAUGAACUCCCGUCCUCGUGGAGGUGACAUUGCACUCACACUGUGGUUUUAUAUUUCGGAUGGACGGAAAGUGAGACCUCAAAGUUUAAAAUUGCUUAGGAAAUGGUAUUUUGUCAAUAUAUGUCAAUUCCAUAUGUAUAAAAACCAUAUUGAAAGCCACCAGAAGAAGCAGC